AAUUGUUUGGAGAAUCGACAAGAAAAGUUAUUAAAGAAAAAGUCCAAACAAGUUAAUUGUACAGGUCGGGUGAAAAACCUAAAAAUACUUGGCCCGUUACAAGGCUGCCUAAAAUAUCUUACAAUCCACACAAACUAUAAAGCAGAGCAAGUUGAAGUUUAGCCCCACAACCCAUUUCGGCCCAAGGUUUGGUGAUGAAACGAACUUUUCUUGUCGAUUCUCCAAACAAUU
rnacentral:misc_RNA from 1 species